rnacentral:rRNA from 1 species
GGUACACGAGCGGCGAACGGGUGAGUAACACGUGGGUGAUCUGCCCUGCACUUCGGGAUAAGCCUGGGAAACUGGGUCUAAUACCGGAUAUGACCUCCUGUUGCAUGGCUUGGGGUGGAAAGAUUUAUCCGGGUGGCAGGAUGGGCCCGCGGCCUAUCAGGCUUGUUGGUGGGGUAAUGGCCUACCAAGGCGAUCGACCGGUAGCCGAACUGAGGAGGGGUGGACCGGCCACACUGGAACUGAGACACGGCCCAGACUCCUACCGGGAGGCAGCAGUGGGGAAUAUUGCACAAUGGGCGAAAGCCUGAUGCAGCGACGCCGCGUGAGGGAUGACGGCCUUCGGGUUGUAAACCUCUUUCAGCAGGGACGAAGCGCAAGUGACGGUACCUGCAGAAGAAGCACCGGGCUAACUACGUGCCAGCAGCCGCGGUAAUACGUAGGGUGCAAGCGUUGUCCGGAAUUACUGGGCGUAAAGAGUUCGUAGGCGGUUUGUCGCGUCGUUUGUGAAAACCAGCAGCUCAACUGCUGGCUUGCAGGCGAUACGGGCAGACUUGAGUACUGCAGGGGAGACUGGAAUUCCUGGUGUAGCGGUGAAAUGCGCAGAUAUCAGGAGGAACACCGGUGGCGAAGGCGGGUCUCUGGGCAGUAACUGACGCUGAGGAACGAAAGCGUGGGUAGCGAACAGGAUUAGAUACCCUGGUAGUCCACGCCGUAAACGGUGGGCGCUAGGUGUGGGUUCCUUCCACGGAAUCCGUGCCGUAGCUAACGCAUUAAGCGCCCCGCCUGGGGAGUACGGCCGCAAGGCUAAAACUCAAAGGAAUUGACGGGGGCCCGCACAAGCGGCGGAGCAUGUGGAUUAAUUCGAUGCAACGCGAAGAACCUUACCUGGGUUUGACAUAUACCGGAAAGCUGCAGAGAUGUGGCCCCCCUUGUGGUCGGUAUACAGGUGGUGCAUGGCUGUCGUCAGCUCGUGUCGUGAGAUGUUGGGGUUAAGUCCCGCAACGAGCGCAACCCCUAUCUUAUGUUGCCAGCACGUUAUGGUGGGGACUCGUAAGAGACUGCCGGGGUCAACUCGGAGGAAGGUGGGGACGACGUCAAGUCAUCAUGCCCCUUAUGUCCAGGGCUUCACACAUGCCUACAAUGGCCAGUACAGAGGGCUGGCCAGACCGUGAGGUGGAGCGAAUCACUUAAAGCUAGUCUCAGUUCGGAUCGGGGUCUGCAACUUGCAACCCCGUGAAGUCGGAGUCGCUAGUAAUCGCAGAUCAGCAACGCUGCGGUGAAUACGUUCCCGGGCCUUGUACACACCGCCCGUCACGUCAUGAAAGUCGGUAACACCCGAAGCCGGUG